GACGAACGCUGGCGGCGUGCUUAACACAUGCAAGUCGAACGGAAAGGCCCUGCUUUUGUGGGGUGCUCGAGUGGCGAACGGGUGAGUAACACGUGAGUAACCUGCCCUUGACUUUGGGAUAACUUCAGGAAACUGGGGCUAAUACCGGAUAGGAGCUCCUGCUGCAUGGUGGGGGUUGGAAAGUUUCGGCGGUUGGGGAUGGACUCGCGGCUUAUCAGCUUGUUGGUGGGGUAGUGGCUUACCAAGGCUUUGACGGGUAGCCGGCCUGAGAGGGUGACCGGCCACAGUGGGAGUGAGAUACGGCCCAGACUCCUACGGGAGGCAGCAGUGGGGAAUAUUGCACAAUGGGCGGAAGCCUGAUGCAGCAACGCCGCGUGCGGGAUGAAGGCCUUCGGGUUGUAAACCGCUUUCGCCUGUGACGAAGCGUGAGUGACGGUAAUGGGUAAAGAAGCACCGGCUAACUACGUG
rnacentral:rRNA from 1 species